rnacentral:rRNA from 1 species
UACGGAGGGAGCUAGCGUUAUUCGGAAUUACUGGGCGUAAAGCGCACGUAGGCGGCUUUGUAAGUAAGAGGUGAAAGCCCAGAGCUCAACUCUGGAAUUGCCUUUAGACUGCAUCGCUUGAAUCAUGGAGAGGUCAGUGGAAUUCCGAGUGUAGAGGUGAAAUUCGUAGAUAUUCGGAAGAACACUAGUGGCGAAGGCGGGCUGACUGG